rnacentral:lncRNA from 1 species
UUCGAUUCGAAAGUUUUAUCUAUGAAGAUGCUGGCUCAAGAAUUUGACAGAGCUUCAGCGUAUGUCUUCGAAUCGGUGAAGAUUGUAGGAGUUCCUCAAGCUCUAUAUAUAGGCGAAGUCUUGAAUAGAUCCGUUUGAGAGAUGGUCUUCAAGAUUUCUGCCGUUGUGAGAGGAUGUCACUUCUUGGGCUGAGGUGGCAAUCUUCAGAUACUCUAUGUAGUAAAUAUUUGAGUUGUCUUGUCUCGGAGUAUGGUGCUUCUGCAGCUUUAAAACGAAAAGAGCAUGGUACUUGCAAGGACGAUCUUCAAAUCUUCGGCAUUUAAUGCUGUUGUACUCGAGCAUUUAAUGUGGCGUGUCUGAUACUCUUCACUUCAGUCUGAUGCAGAAUGUUGACUGGUACUUCAGUUUGACGAUGACAUGAAUUGCUCGAGUAUCUCUGACUGGUGACUGAUGACUUUCAGUCAGGGUGCGUCCUUCGGUGGUUUGUUCAAUAUGCUUCAUUAAAACUGCCUUCAGUCUUCGGUCUUCAAUCAACUGAUCGUUAGUCUUUGUUGCUUCAGUCUAAACUAGUGAGGACUAAAACACUUA